rnacentral:lncRNA from 1 species
AACACUAAUAACAAUAUCAAUCUUCUCAUUUCUUGAUAACAAUAUACAUAAUUUAGCAAAACAAGAACACUAAUAACACUAUCAAUCUUCUCAUUUCUUGAUAACAAUAUACAAAAUUUAGCAAAACAAUAACACUAAUAACACUAUCAAUCUUCUCGUUUCUUGAUAACAAUAUACAAAAUUUAGUAAAACAACAACACUAAUAACACUAUCAAUCUUCUCAUUUCUUGAUAACAAUAUACAAAAUUUAUCGAAACAAGAACACUAAAAACACUAACAAUCUUCUCAUUUCUUGAUAACAAAAUACAUAAUUUAUCAAAACGAGAACACUAAUAACACUAUCAAUAUUCUCAUUUCUUGAUAACAAUAUACAAAAUUUAUCAAAACAAGAACACUAAUAACACUAUCAAUCUUCUCAUUUCUUGAUAACAAUUUACAAAAUUUAGCAAAACAAAAACACUAAUAACCCUAUCAAUCUUCUCAUUUCUUGAUAACAAUAUACAAAAUUUAGCUAAACAAGAACACUAAUAACACAAUCAAUCUUCUCAUUUCUUGAUAACAAUAUACAAAAUUUAGCAAAACAAGAACACUAAUAACACUAUCAAUCUUCUCAUUUCUUGAUAACAAUAUACAAAAUUUAGCAAAACAAGAACACUAAUAACACUAUCAAUCUUCUCAUUUCUUGAUAACAAUAUACAAAAUUUAGCAAAACAAGAACACUAAUAACACUAUCAAUCUUCUCAUUUCUUGAUAACAAUAUACAAAAUUUAGCAAAACAAGAACACUAAUAACACUAUCAAUCUUCUCAUUUCUUGAUAACAAUAUACAAAAUUUAGCAAAACAAGAACACUAAUAACACUAUCAAUCUUCUCAUUUCUUGAUAACAAUAUACAAAAUUUAGCAAAACAAGAACACUAAUAACACUAUCAAUCUUCUCAUUUCUUGAUAACAAUAUACAAAAUUUAGCAAAACAAGAACACUAAUAACACUAUCAAUCUUCUCAUUUCUUGAUAACAAUAUACAAAAUUUAGCAAAACAAGAACACUAAUAACACUAUCAAUCUUCUCAUUUCUUGAUAACAAUAUACAAAAUUUAGCAAAACAAGAACACUAAUAACACUAUCAAUCUUCUCAUUUCUUGAUAACAAUAUACAAAAUUUAGCAAAACAAGAACACUAAUAACACUAUCAAUCUUCUCAUUUCUUGAUAACAAUAUACAAAAUUUAGCAAAACAAGAACACUAAUAACACUAUCAAUCUUCUCAUUUCUUGAUAACAAUAUACAAAAUUUAGCAAAACAAGAACACUAAUAACACUAUCAAUCUUCUCAUUUCUUGAUAACAAUAUACAAAAUUUAGCAAAACAAGAACACUAAUAACACUAUCAAUCUUCUCAUUUCUUGAUAACAAUAUACAAAAUUUAGCAAAACAAGAACACUAAUAACACUAUCAAUCUUCUCAUUUCUUGAUAACAAUAUACAAAAUUUAGCAAAACAAGAACACUAAUAACACUAUCAAUCUUCUCAUUUCUUGAUAACAAUAUACAAAAUUUAGCAAAACAAGAACACUAAUAACACUAUCAAUCUUCUCAUUUCUUGAUAACAAUAUACAAAAUUUAGCAAAACAAGAACACUAAUAACACUAUCAAUCUUCUCAUUUCUUGAUAACAAUAUACAAAAUUUAGCAAAACAAGAACACUAAUAACACUAUCAAUCUUCUCAUUUCUUGAUAACAAUAUACAAAAUUUAGCAAAACAAGAACACUAAUAACACUAUCAAUCUUCUCAUUUCUUGAUAACAAUAUACAAAAUUUAGCAAAACAAGAACACUAAUAACACUAUCAAUCUUCUCAUUUCUUGAUAUCAAUAUACAAAAUUUAGCAAAACAAGAACACUAAUAACACUAUCAAUCUGCUCAUUUCUUGAUAACAAUAUACAAAAUUUAGCAAAACAAGAACAAUAAUAACACUAUCAAUCUUCUCAUUUCUUGAUAACAAUAUACAAAAUUUAGCAAAACAAGAACACUAAUCACACUAUCAAUCUUCUAUUUCUUGAUAACAAUAUACAAAAUUUAGCAAAAUAAGAACACUAAUAACACUAUCAAUCUUCUCAUUUCUUGAUAACAAUAUACAAAAUUUAGCAAAAUAAGAACCCUAAUAACACUAUCAAUCUUCUCAUUUCUUGGCAACAAUAUACAGAUUAGUAUGCUAAGAAAAAAGAAGCAAAGGAAUAACUCACGUAAUAGAGUCCUAAAGAUGUGCGUACGAAUAUAGGAGGCAGUGGUGUGGGCUUUGAAGCCAUCAUAAAUUCAAACGAACAGUGCGUCAUGACUUACAUCGACUUGGUCGUGAUCUUCCACAUCCUUAUUUGACUGAACAGAAGCCAUUGAGAAUUCUCCAUGGCAAUGCCUUUCAUUUUUGAGAGUUUUUGCUAAAGGGUCAGCGUCAAACAUUUCUUGAUAACAAUAACACUAAUAACACUAUCAAUCUUCAAACUUCUUGAUAACAAUAUACAAAAUUUAGCAAAACAAGAACACUAUUAACACUAUCAAUCUUCUCAUUUCUUGAUAACAAUAUACAAAAUUUAGCAAAACAAGAACACUAAUAACACUAUCAAUCUUCUUUUCUUGAAUAACAAUAUACAAAAAUUUAGCCAAAACAAGAACGACUAAUAACACUAAUUCAAUCUUCUCAUUUCUUGAUAACAUAUACAAAAUUUCAUCAAAAGAAAAAACACUAAUAACACUAUCAAUCUCUCAUUUCUUGAUAACAUAUAUUUAAAAUUUAGCAAACAAGAACACUAAUACCACGAUCAAUCUUCUCGGUUUCUUAUAUACAAUUAUACAAAAUUUAGCUAAAAACAGAAACACUAUAAGCAUCUCUCUUCUGAUCAAUAACAAUUUAUCACACACUUAACAUCAUCUUCAUUUGCUUGAUAACAAUACAAAAUUAGCAAAACAAGAACACUAAUAACACUAUCAAUCUUCUCAUUUCUUGAUAACAAUAUAAUAGAAUUAGCAAAACAAGAACACUAAUAACACUAUCAAUCUUCUCAUUUUUGCACAACCAAUAUACAGUAUUUAUGCUAAGAAAAAAGAAGCAAAGAAAUAACUCACGUAAUAGAGUUCAUAAAGAUGGUGCGUACGAAUAUAGGAAGCAGUGGUGUGGGCUUUGAGCCAUCAUAAAUUCAAACGAAUAGUGCGUCAGACUUACGAUCGGCUUGGGUUGUGACUUAAUCCUUUUUGGACAGAGCCUGAUCCAUGCAAUGCCUUUCAUUUUGAGAGUUUUUGGCUUAAAGGGUCAGCGUCCAAACAUUUACUUUGAUACAAGAACAAUAACACUAUCAAUCUUCAAAUCUUUUGAUAACAGAUAUAACAAAAUUAGGCAAAACGAAGAACACUAAUCACGACUAUCAAUCCUCUCAUUCUUUUGUAUAACCAAUAUACAAAAUUUAGCAAAACAGAACACUAAUAAACACUAUCCAUCUUCUCAUUUCUUGACAACAAUAUACAAAUUAGUAUGCUAAGAAAAAUAAGUAAAGAAAAACUUCACGUAAUAGAUUCCUUAAAGCAUGUGCGUGACGAAUAUAGAAGCAGUGGUGUGGCCCUUUGAAGCCAUUCAUAAAUUCCAACGAACAGUCGCGUCAUGGCUUACAUCGUGCCUAGUUGUGAUCUUCCAUAUCCUUAUUUGACUAAACGAGCUAUGGAGAAUUCCCCAUCAAUGCCUUUCAUUUUUGGGAGAUUUUUGGUAAAGGGUGUCAGCGCUUAAAUGUUUCUUGAUAACAAGAACACUAAAUGAAACACUAUGCAAUCUUCUCAUUUGCUUGAUUAACAAUAUUCAUAUUUUGCAAACAAGAACACUAAUAAACACUAUCACCUUAUCAUUUCUUUGAUAAACAAUUAUACAAUUUUAAAGCAAAACAAGAACACUAUCACACUAUCAAUCUUCUCAUUUCUUGGAUAACGAUUUACAAAAUAGCAAAUAAAAACACUAAUUAACACUACAAUUCUUCUCAUUUCUUUGACAACAAUAUACAAAAUUUACAAAACAAGUAACACUAAUAACAACUAUUCAAUCUUUCUUAUUUCUUGAUUAACAAUAUACAAAAUUAGCAAAUACAAGAACCUUAUAACACUACUCAAUCUUUCUCAUUUCUGAUAACAAUAUACAAAAUUCUAGCAAAACAAAGAACACUAAUAAACAUUCAAUCUUCUUCAUUCUUGAAACAAUAUACAAAAUUUUAGCAAAACAAGAACACUAAUAAACACUAUUCUAAUCUUCUUAUCUUACAAUAUACAAAAUUGCAAACAAGAAACACUUAAUAAACACUAUCAAUCUCUCAUUUUCUUAAUAACAAUAUACAAAAUUCUUAAUAUCAAUCUUCUCAUUUCUUUGAUAACGAUUACAAAAAUUUAGGCAAUAUAAGAACACUAAAUAACACUAUCAAUCUUUCUCUAUUUUCUUGAUAAACCAAUAUACCAAAAUUUAAAGCCAAACAAGAAUACUUAAUUAACCACUAUCAAUCUUCUCAUUUUUUGAUACAAUAUACAGAUUUUGUAUGCUAAGAAAAAAGAAGCAAAGAAAUAAAACUCACGUAAUAGGAGUCCUAAGAUAUGCGUACGAAUUAUAGGAACAGUUGUAGCCUUUGAAGCCAUCAAUAAAAAUUCAAUUACUAACUAGUGCGUCUAUGACUUACAUCGACUUGGUGCUGUUCUCAUGUAUCCUUAUUUUGGGACUGUAACAAGAAGCCAUGGAGAAUUUCCCCAUGGCAAUGCCUUUCAUUUUUUGAGAGAUUUUGCAAUGGGUCAUGCGUUCAAACGUUUCUUGAUAACAAGAACACUAAUAACACUAUCAAUCUUUCUCAUUUCUUUGUAACAAUAUACAAUAUUAGCAAAACAAGAAACACUAAUAACACUAAUCAACUUCCUAUUUCUUGAAAAAUAAUAACAAAAUUUAGCAAAACAAGAAACUAAAUAACACUAUCAAUUCUUCUCAUUUCUUUGAUAACAAUAUACAAAAUUUAGCAAACAAAGAACACAUAAUAAACACUAUCAAUCUUCUCAUUUCUAUGAUAACAAUAUAAAUUUAGCAAAACAGAACACUUAAUAAAACACUAUCAAUCUCUCAUAUCUUGAUAUCAUAUACAAAAUUUAGCAAAACAAGAACCACUAAUAACACUAUCAAUCUUCUCAUUUCUUUGAUAAACAAUAUACAAAAUUUAGCAAAACAAGACAAAAAACACUAUAUAUCUUUCUUAUGAUUAAUAUACAAAUUAGCAAACAAAACCUAUUCACACUUAAUACUUCUAUUUCUUGCAUAAACAUAUAAAAAUUUAGCAAAAAAGAAACAUACACACUACAAUCUUUCAUUUUGAUAAACAACCAUAUACAAAUUAGCACAACAUAAGAAACACGUAAUACACUAUAUCAAUUCUCUCAUUUCUUCGCAACCCAAUACACAGAUAGUUAGCUAAGAAAAAGAAGAAAGAAAUAACUCACGUACAAAGAGUCAAAGACUGCGUCGAACAUGAACGGCGUGUGGGUUGUGGAAGCAUCAUAAUUCAACGACAUGCGUAUGACUACACCCUUGGGUUGAUUUCCCAUCCUUAUUUGCUGAACAAGCAUGAGCAAUCCCCAUGCAAUGCCUCUCAUUUUUGAGAGUUUUGGCUAAAGGGACGCAACGUCAACAUUUCUGAUAACUAAUAAACUAAAUACACUCUAUUCUUUCAAAUUUCUUGAUACAAUCAUACAAAAUAGCAAAAAUGAACACUAAUAAACUAUCAAUCUUUUCAUUUUCUUGUAAAAAUAUUAACAAAAUUUAGCAAACAAGAAACUAAUACACACAUCUCUAUUCUUGAUUCAACUAACAAUUAGCAAACAAGCACUAAUAAAAUAUCAAUUUCUUGCAUUUGAUAACAAUAUACAUAAUUUAGCAAAACAAGAACACUAUAACCACACACUUCGUCAUUCUGUAACAAUAACAUAAAUUUACAAACAAGAACACUAAACUACGAUUCAUCUUUCUCGUUGAUAAACAAUAUACAAUUUAGUAAAAAAGAACACAAUUAACACAUUCAAUCUUUCAUUCGAUAACACUUCAAAAAUUAUCAAAAAGAAACAUAAUAACACUAUCACAUUUCUCAUUUCUUGAUAACUAAUUUACAAAACUAGCAAAACAAGUACACUAAUAACUAUUCACUUACUCAUUUUGAUAUUAAUAUAUCAUAAAAUUGCAAAAAGAACACUAAUAAUAUCAAUCUCUCAGUUUCUGAAACAAUAUAACGAUAUUAUGCUAAGAAAAGAAGCAAAGAAAUAACUCCAUAGAUCCUAAAGAUGUGCGUACGGAUAUAUAAAGUAGUGGUGUGCUUUGAGCCAUCUAAAAUAAAUGAGAAGUGCGUCUAGGCUUACAUCACUAUGGUUGUGAUCUUCCAUAUCCUUAAUGCUGAACAAACCAUGAGAAUUCCAUGCAUAGCCUUCAUUUUUGAGAGAUUUGCUAAAGGUCAGGUCAUUUAGAAAUACAAAAGCACGAUUCUUGAUAACAAGGCACACAAAUAACACUAUCAAUCUUCUCAUUUCUGAUAACAAUAUACAAAUAUGAGCAACAAAGAUAACACUAAUAAACACUAUCACCUCCUAUUCUUGAAUAAUUAUACAAAAUUUAGGCAAAACAAGGAAACACUAAUUAACUACUAUCAAUCUUUUCAUUUCUUGAUAACAAUAUACAAAAAUUUAAGCAAAACUAAGAAACACCAAUACACCUAUCAUACUCUUCUAUUUCUUGAUAACAAUAUAAAAAUUUAUCAAAACAAGAACACUAAUAACACUAUCAAUCUUCUCAUUUCUUGAUAUAUAGAUACAAAUUUAGCAAAACAAGAACAUUAAUGAACACUAUCGAAUCUUUCUCAUUUCUUGAAUAACAAAUUACAAAAAAUUUAGCAGAAACAAGAACACUAAUAACAUAUCAAUCUUCUCAUUUCUUGAUAACAAUAUACAAAAUUUU